rnacentral:rRNA from 1 species
GAUGAACGCUGGCGGCGUGCCUAAUACAUGCAAGUCGAGCGAACAGAUAAGGAGCUUGCUCCUUUGACGUUAGCGGCGGACGGGUGAGUAACACGUGGGUAACCUACCUAUAAGACUGGAAUAACUCCGGGAAACCGGGGCUAAUGCCGGAUAACAUUUAGAACCGCAUGGUUCUAAAGUGAAAGAUGGUUUUGCUAUCACUUAUAGAUGGACCCGCGCCGUAUUAGCUAGUUGGUAAGGUAACGGCUUACCAAGGCAACGAUACGUAGCCGACCUGAGAGGGUGAUCGGCCACACUGGAACUGAGACACGGUCCAGACUCCUACGGGAGGCAGCAGUAGGGAAUCUUCCGCAAAGGGCGAAAGCCUGACGGAGCAACGCCGCGUGAGUGAUGAAGGUCUUCGGAUCGUAAAACUCUGUUAUUAGGGAAGAACAAAUGUGUAAGUAACUAUGCACGUCUUGACGGUACCUAAUCAGAAAGCCACGGCUAACUACGUG